AUGUUGUGUCUGACAAUCCAGCAUGACCUGCAAUAUGCUGCAUGGACUACAGAGCAAGAUAAAACAAAGAGGCUAAAUUCUAAACCGCAUUCCACCAAUGAAUCAAACAGUGGGAUCCUGAGGGAAACUAGUGGAGAUGUCGAGGAGAGGUGUGAAGACUUUGGCAGAGGCUGUGUCACAGAAGGACUCUCAUUAGAAGAGGGAACAUCAACACCAGAGACUGACAUGUACAGUAAGGUGCCACCAACUCCUCGUGGAAGGUGUGGAACGAACGACACAGCUACUGAUCCUACAGUAAUCCACAACUGUUACAGUUAGCUUUUGAAAGUUGGAAUGUUCAGUUUUCAAUUCAAACUUUGAUCUUGGUUACCACACAGUGACAAAUGGCUAAUUCACUCAAGGAUUAAAAAGUCCCAUCAAGUUUUUACAACCAACUGGUGAUCCACAGAGUGGGAAUAAAUGAGUUGUGAAAGAAAAUU
ensembl:lncRNA